GCUUGUCUCAAAGAUUAAGCCAUGCAUGUCUAAGUAUAAGCAUUAUACAGUGAAACUGCGAAUGGCUCAUUAAAUCAGUUAUCGUUUAUUUGAUGGUCCCUUACUACAUGGAUAACCGUAGUAAUUCUAGAGCUAAUACAUGCGUCAAACCUCGACUUCUGGGAGAGGUGUAUUUAUUAGAUGGAAACCAAUGCGGGGCAACCCGGAUUAUGGUGAUUCAUAAUAACUUUCAGAUCGAUCGCAAGAUCGAUGCAUCAUUCAAGUUUCUGCCCUAUCAGCUUUGGAUGGUAGGGUAUUGGCCUACCAUGGCUUUAACGGGUAACGGAGAAUUAGGGUUCGAUUCCGGAGAGGGAGCCUGAGAAACGGCUACC
rnacentral:rRNA from 1 species